ACACUCCACGGGAGGCAGCAGUGGGGAAUAUUGGACAAUGGGCGCAAGCCUGAUCCAGCCAUGCCGCGUGAGUGAUGAAGGCCCUAGGGUUGUAAAGCUCUUUCACCGGUGAAGAUAAUGACGGUAACCGGAGAAGAAGCCCCGGCUAACUUCGUGCCAGCAGCCGCGGUAAUACGAAGGGGGCUAGCGUUGUUCGGAUUUACUGGGCGUAAAGCGCACGUAGGCGGACUAUUAAGUCAGGGGUGAAAUCCCGGGGCUCAACCCCGGAACUGCCUUUGAUACUGGUAGUCUUGAGUUCGAGAGAGGUGAGUGGAAUUCCGAGUGUAGAGGUGAAAUUCGUAGAUAUUCGGAGGAACACCAGUGGCGAAGGCGGCUCACUGGCUCGAUACUGACGCUGAGGUGCGAAAGCGUGGGGAGCAAACAGGAUUAGAUACCCUAGUAGUCCCAUG
rnacentral:rRNA from 1 species